AUUGAACGCUGGCGGCAGGCUUAACACAUGCAAGUCGAGCGGGGAUAGGGUGCUUGCACCUGAUUCCUAGCGGCGGACGGGUGAGUAAUGCUUAGGAAUCUGCCUAUUAGUGGGGGACAACGUUCCGAAAGGGACGCUAAUACCGCAUACGUCCUACGGGAGAAAGCAGGGGAUCUUCGGACCUUGCGCUAAUAGAUGAGCCUAAGUCGGAUUAGCUAGUUGGUGGGGUAAAGGCCUACCAAGGCGACGAUCUGUAGCGGGUCUGAGAGGAUGAUCCGCCACACUGGGACUGAGACACGGCCCAGACUCCUACGGGAGGCAGCAGUGGGGAAUAUUGGACAAUGGGGGCAACCCUGAUCCAGCCAUGCCGCGUGUGUGAAGAAGGCCUUUUGGUUGUAAAGCACUUUAAGCGAGGAGGAGGCUUACCUGGUUAAUACCUGGGAUAAGUGGACGUUACUCGCAGAAUAAGCACCGGCUAACUCUGUGCCAGCAGCCGCGGUAAGAC
rnacentral:rRNA from 1 species